GGGGAAUAUUGGACAAUGGGGGCAACCCUGAUCCAGCAAUGCCGCGUGAGUGAUGAAGGCCUUAGGGUUGUAAAGCUCUUUUGCCAGGGAAGAUGAUGACUGUACCUGGAGAAUAAGCCCCGGCUAACUUCGUGCCAGCAGCCGCGGUAAUACGAAGGGGGCUAGCGUUGUUCGGAAUUACUGGGCGUAAAGGGCGCGUAGGCGGCCGUUUAAGUUAGGUGUGAAAGUCCUGGGCUCAACCUGGGGACUGCACUUAAUACUGGAUGGCUUGAAUUCGGGAGAGGAUAGCGGAAUUCCCAGUGUAGAGGUGAAAUUCGUAGAUAUUGGGAAGAACACCGGUGGCGAAGGCGGCUAUCUGGACCGACAUUGACGCUGAGGCGCGAAAGCGUGGGGAGCAAAC
rnacentral:rRNA from 1 species